UCCGUAGGUGAACCUUGCGGAAGGAUCAUU
rnacentral:rRNA from 1 species